AAAAACAUAACUAUAUGUUAACAUAUAUAGCAGUUUCUGCUCAAUGACAAGAUUAAAUAGCCGCAGUAAUUUGACUGUGCAAAGGUAGCAUAAUCAUUUGACUUAUAAUUAAGGUCUGGUAUGAAGGAGUUUAUGGGGGCCAUCUGUAUCAAGAAUAGAAUUUUAAAUUGCUUAUUGGGUGCAAAUUCCCAAAAAAAAAUAAUAGACGAGAAGACCCUAGAAAUUUUAAGAAUAAGUGAGUGAUUGUUUUUGUUGGGGCGACAAAGUAGCAAAAAACCUACUUUAUUUGACGAGUUAAUAUUAAUAAGAUAGAUUAAAUUACUCUAGGGAUAACAGCAUAAUAUUAAAAAGUUUGUGACCUCGAUGUUGGAUUAGGAAAUAAUAGCCCAGAAGGCUACUGUUAAAGCUCUGUUCGAGCUUGGCCUCCUACGUGAUCUGA
rnacentral:rRNA from 1 species